UCCAACCACUUUGUGCACCUACCCGCUGAGCAAGUAUUUUGAUUGGUGUGGCUAUCUCCUGGCGGUUAUUGUUGGGAAGUAGCCUGUAGAUUAAAUUUGACCCACACAUUCAACUCAAUACCGCCGUAGGAAUGUGAUGGAUUAGAAAAAUAUGUGCCUUGGUUGUCAACAUGUUCCCCGGCGUUUUCUAUGCGCUCCUGGCGGGGUUUCUCGGGGCUGUCGCAUCUUCAUCUGCAAAGCUGUCACUUGGAGCCGAUUACCUUAAAGGUGUAUGUGAAACGGGGCUACGAACAUGGGGAGAGCAGCGGAAAUUUAGACAACCGYACGAAACUACCGCUUGUGACUGGCUACACAUCCCCUGAGGCUUCUUUGUGGGGGGCUACUCUUCACCUGUAAUGCUGUGAUGUGGACAUUCCUGGCUAAGCUCUCAGGCACUCUUCCUCUCCAUCCGAACCACUGUGACCACCACCGCUUCCAACUUCAUAUCUUCCGCCUUUUUGGGGCAGCUUAUCUUCGGGGAGACCCAGAUUGCGUUGUGGUGGGUGGGAAUCUCCCUCACGUUCUCUGGCCUCCUGGUGCUUCAGAGGGCGGCCCCCAACGACCGAGCCAGGAAGGACGAAUGACAAACCUGUCGGAAGGCACAACUAAUUAACUGAUAUAGAAAGAAACCAGUAAUGCAAKGUAUAGCCRACUAUCUGUGACAAACAAUAGCAUUUCUCGGGUGAAUGGCAACUUUGCAAGGUAAAGCACUGUCAAAACAUACCAUGUAAGAAAUAUACAGUGAUUUCUUUUGUGUUUUAAACACUUUGACAUCAUCAGCAAUGUGUGCAUGACAUCAAUACUUGAGAACACAAAAGCUGUUUUGCUCACAUAUCCUAAGAUGACACUCACUGUAAACUUCCACACCAACAUUGCAUGUUCAAGGUGAUGUGUGAAUGGAAGUGGUCUCAAAAAUGCUGCUACUGCUAGAUAUACGCAAAUACAGCAAACACAUUGAUAUUCUCAUUGCUUARUACUGUAUAAUACAUGAUGCGGCUCAGAGAAUACACAUCAACUUCUCAGUUGUAUCAUGUUUAUAGCCUCGUAUCUUGAGGACUUGACCCUUACAGAGUUUUGACAUGUUUUGUGGAUUCUGAGGAGGUUUGGCCUUGCCUGCCUUUAUAGCAAAUGUCUAAUAGAAAGUUCCUAACAAGGUCUAAACCCAAUUAAGUCAAACCAAAGUACCCAAAUAUGUUGAUCCUGCCUUUUACCCACUGUAACCACAGCAGUGGCUCUGUCAAUGCAUUGUGAAGUCAAACUGCUAAGUGGCCCCAAGAAAUCGUAGUGACCUCAGCUGCCUGUAAAGUGAUARUGUCUAGUUCACUCAAAAAUCUAAGUUUMUCAGACAUAUUCAAACCUCAAAAGUGGCCUAAUGUCGAGAUGAGACAAAGGAUAGGCACAGUCUAAUUUAAUCUUUUUUAGAUGGUGCCUGUCUUUCCAAUUCAUUUGGAGUUGAGGCACAGAGCUGUAUCUACACAGCAGACAGCUUGGACCUCUUGACAUUAGCCCACGUCUGACCUCAACUAAAAUUUUGGAGUGAACUAUCCCUUAUUCCCUUUGGCAGAAGAGACUCAUUAUUUCAUUCUGACCUAAUGGGGUGUCUAAACAACAGUUACUCCAAUGUCUGGCCUUUUUAAUUGAGUGUCACCAGCUGUUUGUCUUCCAGCUGUAGGCCUGUAUCAUCAACCAAUGUCUAUCCUAGUUUUCCAAUGCAAUUKAAAUCAGUUUGAGGUUAUCCUUGGGGUAAAGGAGGCAUCCGGUAGCACAGUUCCUCCCUCUGCAUUUUCCAAGACUUCCAAAAGGUCAAAUGUUGCUGUGGGGUUUGUAACCCAACUACUGAAAGUAGUGUUUAUUACUAGCAUGCUUGUCCUCCAACGGUGUACUUCCCUGAUAUUCCUUAACACUGUGAUGUGCUAUUGUGGAAAUGGGCUUUUUGCGUAAUACUGACAACGCUACCAUAGACUGGAGUUUGACUUGACAACUGUACUAUACGAUCCCACUUUGCUGUUGUUUUUUUAUACGUAUCAUAUGCAUGCAACAACCAACGGUAGCUACCUGUAUUCUGACUGUAUCUAUUAGACAAUGAUAUGUCUGUGUAAAUGCAGAAGAACGCACACUAUGGAAUCGGUUCUCCGUCCAGUUGCAGUACAURACAGACUGCAGGUUUUGUAUGUAAUGUCAUCUACUUCCCUGGCAAUGUGACUAUCUAUGCUAUUGAAUCAGGAUGGGAGACAUUGGUGCUGACAUUUCUCCUGUGUUCUUCAGUCAGUCUAAACUGAGGAUAAACAUUUACCUGUGAAGCCACUGUCACUAAGGGAAAGAGAAAUCAAUMCAUUAGYGUAGUGGUUUCGUGAAAUGUUUUAUCGCCAGCCCCUGAAUGGGACAUGUUUGUUGUAACCAUUCUACUGUAGAUAUGGAUAUCAUGUUAUAAACUGUAGAUAUUAGUUUGGGAGGUGCAUAUGACUGACCUGUUAAGGUGUGUGUUCCAGAGUAGUGCAGAACUGGGGCCCUACUAGGGGGAUAAGGAGAUGCAAUGUAUUAUCAACAAAAAGGCAUUAUUAAAAGAGUCCUUACUUGGACAAGCCACCUCCCCAUCCUUUGAAUAUGUUGAUUGGUUCUUAGUAAAUGGUGUAUGAUAAGGGAGGAAGUCUCAGAAAAUGUCUGUUAGUCAAUAGAAUCUGAUUGCACACACUGAUGCUGUGUCUGUGUGUGACAAACUCAUCACUUCUUGGACAACAGAGGGAGAGGAAAACAGGUGUUUGGGUAGACUGCAAACUCUUUGUCUGCACUGGUAAGAAAUAUGAACCAUUCAUAUCUAGUCUAAUAUAACUUCUAUUAAACUAACAUUUGUAAGUGUAAAUAUCUUCUAU